GCCCGCCUAGCUCAAUCGGAUAGAGCGUCAGACUCUUAUGAAGGGCGUGCAUAACCCAUUGCUUCCGCAAUCUGAAGGCUGCGAGUUCGACCCUCGCGGUGGGCU